rnacentral:rRNA from 1 species
GACGAAGGAUGCAAGCGUUUAUCCGGAUUCAUUGGGUUUAAAGGGAGCGUAGGUGGCCUUAUAAGUCAGUGGUGAAAUCUCUGGGCUUAACCCAGAAAUUGCCAUUGAUACUGUAGGGCUUGAGUAUAGUUGCCGUUGGCGGAAUAUGACAUGUAGUGGUGAAAUACAUAGAGAUGUCAUAGAACACCGAUUGCGAAGGCAGCUAACGAAACUAUAACUGACACUGAGGCUCGAAAGUGCGGGGAUCAAACAGG